UCCUACGGGGGGCAGCAGUGAGGAAUAUUGGUCAAUGGCCGGAAGGCUGAACCAGCCAAGCCGCGUGAAGGACGAAGGUGCCAAGCAUUGUAAACUUCUUUUGUCAAGGGACAAAAUCAGGCUCGAGAGCCUGACCGCGGGUACUUGAAGAAAAAGCAUCGGCUAACUCCGUGCCAGCAGCCGCGGUAAUACGGAGGAUGCGAGCGUUAACCGGAUUUAUUGGGUUUAAAGGGGGCGUAGGCGGACUGUUAAGUCAACGGUAAAAGCCGGGG
rnacentral:rRNA from 1 species